rnacentral:rRNA from 1 species
AAUGGGCGCAAGCCUGAUCCAGCCAUGCCGCGUGAGUGAAGAAGGCCCUAGGGUUGUAAAACUCUUUCAGCAGGGAAGGUGAUGACGGUACCUGCAGAAGAAGCCCCGGCCAACUCCGUGCCAGCAGCCGCGGUAAUACGGAGGGGGCAAGCGUUGUUCGGAAUUACUGGGCGUAAAGCGCGCGUAGGCGGUUAGCGUAGUCAGGCGUGAAAUCCCGGGGCUCAACCCCGGAACUGCGCUUGAUACUGGCUAACUAGAGGUCUGGAGAGGGUAGUGGAAUUCCCAGUGUAGAGGUGGAAUUCGUAGAUAUUGGGAAGAACACCAGCGGCGAAGGCGGCUACCUGGACAGAUACUGACGCUGAGGUGCGAAAGCGUGGGGAGCGAACAGGAUU